UGUACACACCGCCCGUCACACCAUGGAAGUUGGCCACGCCCGAAGCCGUUACUCCAACCCUUGUGGAGGAGGAUGUCGAAGGUGGGGCUGAUGACUGGGGUGAAGUCGUAACAAGGUAGCCGUACCGGAAGGUGCGGCUGGAUCACCUCCUAACAGGGAGACAACAACUGAUCGUGAUGUCUGAGUACUUUAUUCUCAGGCCAUGAUCCUGUCAUCUCGAAGGUCGAUCGGUACCUCAACUUCAAGUUACAGAGAGCUUGCUCUGCUGUGAUUUGAUUUUUAGUUCCUAAACGUUGUCUAGGUCACCCCAUAGAGGGUUCACUUCCUGGGCCAUUAGCUCAGGUGGUUAGAGCGCACCCCUGAUAAGGGUGAGGUCCCUGGUUCAAGUCCAGGAUGGCCCAUGCCAAGGUCCAGCGAUGGAUCCAUUGGGGGUUUAGCUCAGUUGGUAGAGCGCCUGCUUUGCAAGCAGGAUGUCAGCGGUUCGAGUCCGCUAACCUCCACUAACACCUGAACUCCUGAGCCAGGAAGCAAUUCUUGCGUGGUGACGUAGACGUUGUUCGCUGAUGAUGAACACUCAAGCAAUUGAGUGGAGUUCAGCCUCAGAUCAUUCCCCAAUCUUUGAACGUAUGAUCCAAUGAUCAUUCGAUCAGGGUUGAGAUGGUUGAUCUGAUGCUGGAUUCAGCGAAGGAGCCUCGCGAGGGGCUUUUUCAAUGGGAUUCAGCAGAACCUUGACAACUGCAUAGGUGAGUCUGGAAAGACAAAGCAUCUCAUAGAGGCGAGAUGACAGAAGCUGCAAAGCUGAUGUUAUGUCGUGAUUCUAUUUUUGAGAGCCGAGACCUUCUAGCGUUCUUCCCAAUCCGCCGAGGUGCGGGGAGUCUGAUCCUUGUUUCUAACUGAAGCAGCAAUGCUUUAAGAGAAACUCGAGAGAAUAGGCCUCAACAGCCUGAAGCGUUAGGAGGAUUAAUUUGGUCAAGCUACAAAGGGCUCACGGUGGAUACCUAGGCACACAGAGA
rnacentral:misc_RNA from 1 species